rnacentral:rRNA from 1 species
GACGAACGCUGGCGGCGUGCCUAAUACAUGCAAGUUGAGCGCUGAAGGUUGGUACUUGUACCAACUGGAUGAGCAGCGAACGGGUGAGUAACGCGUGGGUAAUCUGCCUUUGAGCGGGGGACAACAUUUGGAAACGAAUGCUAAUACCGCAUAAAAACUUUAAACACAAGUUUUAAGUUUGAAAGAUGCAAUUGCAUCACUCAAAGAUGAUCCCGCGUUGUAUUAGCUAGUUGGUGAGGUAAAGGCUCACCAAGGCGAUGAUACAUAGCCGACCUGAGAGGGUGAUCGGCCACAUUGGGACUGAGACACGGCCCAAAUUCCUACGGGAGGCAGCAGUAGGGAAUCUUCGGCAAUGGACGAAAGUCUGACCGAGCAACGCCGCGUGAGUGAAGAAGGUUUUCGGAUCGUAAAACUCUGUUGGUAGAGAAGAACGUUGGUGAGAGUGGAAAGCUCAUCAAGUGACGGUAACUACCCAGAAAGGGACGGCUAACUACGUG